rnacentral:rRNA from 1 species
GAUGAACGCUAGCGGCAGGCUUAAUACAUGCAAGUCGAGGGGCAGCAGGACUGUAGCAAUACAGUUGCUGGCGACCGGCAAACGGGUGCGGAACACGUACGCAACUUACCCAAAACUGGGGAAUAGCCCGGGGAAACCCGGAUUAAUACCUCGUAACAUAAUGAAGUGGCAUCACUUUAUUAUUAUAGCUCCGGCGGUUUUGGAUGGGCGUGCGCCUGAUUAGGUAGUUGGCGGGGUAACGGCCCACCAAGCCUACGAUCAGUAACUGGUGUGAGAGCACGACCAGUCACACGGGCACUGAGACACGGGCCCGACUCCUACGGGAGGCAGCAGUAAGGAAUAUUGGUCAAUGGACGCAAGUCUGAACCAGCCAUGCCGCGUGAAGGAUGAAGGUCCUCUGGAUUGUAAACUUCUUUUAUAUGGGAAGAAAUCCAUCUUUUUUUGGGUGGUUGACGGUACCAUAGGAAUAAGCACCGGCUAACUCCGUGCCAGCAGCCGCGGUAAUACGGAGGGUGCAAGCGUUAUCCGGAUUCACUGGGUUUAAAGGGUGCGUAGGAGGGCAGGUAAGUCAGUGGUGAAAUCUCCAAGCUUAACUUGGAAACUGCCGUUGAUACUAUCUGUCUUGAAUACCGUGGAGGUGAGCGGAAUAUGUCAUGUAGCGGUGAAAUGCUUAGAUAUGACAUAGAACACCAAUUGCGAAGGCAGCUCGCUACACGAAUAUUGACUCUGAGGCACGAAAGCGUGGGGAUCAAACAGGAUUAGAUACCCUGGUAGUCCACGCCCUAAACGAUGGAUACUCGACAUACGCGAUACACAGUGUGUGUCUGAGCGAAAGCAUUAAGUAUCCCACCUGGGAAGUACGACCGCAAGGUUG